rnacentral:lncRNA from 10 species
CCUCUCUUCAAGCUGCAGAAGCAACAGGGGCCUAAAUAAAGCCGAAAAAGGAAGGAGAUGCUGUUCGCCUUCCCAGAUGGGACCACCAGGGGGCAGUGGAGCACACUCGCAGGCUGCAGGCUGCCGGCCGCCUCAGGACUAGGAAAAGGCGUCGGGAGCUGCUGUGGCAGGGGAAACAGGCGACCCUAGGGUCAGAAAUCAUCUUCAGAGCACCGGGUCUCCUCUCAGAGAAUGGCAGGACUGUGCAUUGGCUUCAAACCAGCCAGCUUUUAUCGUCACUCAGAAGCUGCCCAACCCUAACAACCCCAUCAUCAUUUUGUUCCGAAUCAUCACCCUUAUUUUACUGGCAUGAAGAGCCCAGAGAGGUUGAGUAACUGCACUGAAGCCACACAGCCAUGAAAGUGGUCGAGCACUGGAUUUUCACAGUGGGAUUUUUUAACGCCAAGGAUCUUCC